UACGGAGGGUGCAAGCGUUAUCCGGAUUCACUGGGUUUAAAGGGUGUGUAGGCGGGCUAUUAAGUCAGUGGUGAAAUCUCCGGGCUCAACUCGGAAACUGCCAUUGAUACUAUUAGUCUUGAAUAUCGUUGAGGUUGGCGGAAUAUAUCAUGUAGCGGUGAAAUGCAUAGAUAUGAUAUAGAACACCGAUUGCGAAGGCAGCUAACUAAGCGAUGAUUGACGCUGAGGCACGAAGGCGUGGGGAUCAAACAGG
rnacentral:rRNA from 1 species